rnacentral:rRNA from 1 species
CCUGGCUCAGGAUGAACGCUAGCUACAGGCUUAACACAUGCAAGUCGAGGGGCAGCAUUGAGAUAGCUUGCUAUUUCAGAUGGCGACCGGCGCACGGGUGAGUAACGCGUAUCCAACCUUCCCCUUAGUAGAGGAUAGCCCGGCGAAAGUCGGAUUAAUACUCUAUGUUGUAUUUUGAGGACAUCUGACGAAUACCAAAGAUUCAUCGCUAAGGGAUGGGGAUGCGUCUGAUUAGCUUGUUGGCGGGGUAACGGCCCACCAAGGCGACGAUCAGUAGGGGUUCUGAGAGGAAGGUCCCCCACAUUGGUACUGAGACACGGACCAAACUCCUACGGGAGGCAGCAGUGAGGAAUAUUGGUCAAUGGGCGAGAGCCUGAACCAGCCAAGUAGCGUGCAGGAAAGACUGCCCUAUGGGUUGUAAACUGCUUUUAUCAGGGAAUAAAGUGCGGCACGUGUGCUGUUUUGUAUGUACCUGAUGAAUAAGGACCGGCUAAUUCCGUGCCAGCCGCUGC